rnacentral:lncRNA from 1 species
UCAAACACCCCCUAAAUGUGCACAGGUUGGCAGCCGACUCAGUGAAUUGCUGCUUCAAACAGCCUAUAUACAACCUCCAGUCAAUCGGUUAGCAGACAGUUCACCUGAUAUUCGACCUGCAUUUAUACACACUUGUAUAACUGUACGGAAGGAAACAAAGUAAGUUUUUUUUCUUUAAAUCCUUCUGUCUUAUAAGAAAGCUUUCUUUUUGUUGCUUCAAGUCUUCAACAGUGCUUACUGCAUCUCUUUGUGCAUGAACUUUAGCAAAAGAUAUGGUGUUAUCCAAUGCGUUCCACUUGUUACUAAAGGCCUUUAUAGAACAGUAAAUUCAUUUAUUUCUUCCUGUUUUUCUUUGGGAAAAAUCAGAUACAAUCAUUUCAAAAUAGCACAAUUAUUAAGGCGUGACUUGGA